GCACAGUUUGGACGCGAAUGCCCCUGUCCGUCCGCCGUCUGACCUGACGACCAUCAAAAAAAGCGUGCUUGUGAAGAUUCGAACCGUCAACCUCCAGCCUUAAACCACAGAGAACUAGCCAAUCAAGCUAUGCAACAGUGUUGUAAAAGUAACACCUGCGGUGUUAUUUAAUAAGGGCAAAGGAGGAAAAAUACCCUCUAUUUAAUCACUCCUUGGUAAGCACAAUCAUGUCCUAAACGUCAACUAAUUCAGGUA
rnacentral:lncRNA from 1 species